UACGUAGGUGGCAAGCGUUGUCCGGAUUUAUUGGGUUUAAAGGGUGCGUAGGUGGUCAAUUAAGUCAGUGCUGAAAUAUCCCGGCUUAACCGGGAGGGUGGCAUUGAUACUGAUUGACUUGAGUAGAGUUGAGGUAGGCGGAAUUGACGGUGUAGCGGUGAAAUGCUUAGAUAUCGUCAAGAACACCGAUAGCGAAGGCAGCUUACUAAGCUCAAACUGACACUGAUGCACGAAAGUGUGGGGAUCAAACAGG
rnacentral:rRNA from 1 species